rnacentral:rRNA from 2 species
UUGACCUCGGAUCAGGUAGGGCUACCCGCUGAACUUAAGCAUAUCAAUAAGCGGAGGAA